GAAGCAUGCGGUCAGCUGUUCAAAGAUUCCCUGGAUACUCUUGUCGUUCGUUAAAAUCCCGCGCAUUACUUAAUAGCUGCUCAGUCGUUCGCUUUUUCGCUUCGAAAUCUGGAGAAUCGGCGCUGGCGGAUAACUCCGUGAAAUAAUCUGGCGGUUUGACGGCACACGUCGAUUGGCAACGAGCGCAACUGAGGGAAGACAAGAUGUCGAAUCCGAACAAGCGGACUUUCUCGGUGAAAGAGAAGACAUUCGACGGUAUCAAGUCGACUAAUGAAAUCACCAUGGUGGGAAGACGGAUGGUUCCGAAAGAUUUCCUCGACGCUCUUGAUGACAAAUGUCAGGUGCGUCUUGUGGACAGUCUGAACAGAACAAUCUACGCACACUUGGCGCUCCUCCCUUUCAAAUGUGGAUCGAAGGAGUCCGAAAUUCUGUGCGCCAUCCCCCACCACUUCUCUAAAUGUUUCCCAGCUGUCUUAGGCGAGAAACACUGGAAUAGCCUCGUCGAUAAUGAUUAGUUCCUCGGGUUAGUAGCCCAACGAUCAUCCACGCGAAAUCGUCGCGCGAAAAUCAAUUGAGGACUCGAGUGAACUUUUCUAGCCACCGGAAAUAGAGGUCUCAUCAACUGUCGUUCAUGCCGUUUGCAGCGUAAAUGUGAGGGUUUAGGACGCCAGUACAGACAUUUUCUGCGGUAAAUCACACAAAACCUCGCUCACUUGGAUCCCGCUCAUUGGGAGUGAAGCUUGUUUUCGCACAAAUAGAAUUAACACAAGAUCGUGAUCGCGUUCCCCCCGGCUGAAGUCAUCCGGGAGGCUUUGCCCGUAUUUUGAGUCAUCAAACAUUCAAGCCGGAGUCCACGCUAUAGGCGAAGCGCUCUCCCAGGGCGGAGAGGGGAAUGUGCCCUGGUCGUCAACCUUUUUGCAGCGCAGGUCGAAUCUCCAUCCAAUGCUGCAUCCCCUGAUAGACGAAACGUUGUUCCGAAUCGGCCCCCUAUGCCUUCAUUCAAGCCCCCUCGGAAUGACAUUAAGCGGCAUCAUUGAAUGACACGUAACCUCACCAAACCCGAACAAAACACUAGCGCUCGAUUGUUUCCCAAAUCAUCAACCUUAAUACCGAGCCGAGGCAAAUUACUUGUACAAUAAAGGGAAAUUGUGAAAA